rnacentral:sRNA from 1 species
UCGUCUCUGCUAGUCUCACGGCAGCCGUGCUGUUAUCAGCAAAAGAGUACUGCAAUUCAACUCAACGGCUAAAAGAUUGC